CGUUGUCGGUGGUCUUGGUGGCGACUUGGAGUUCUUGCUUGUAUUCUUGGCCAAUGAUGGUAACUCAUUUGGAGACGUAGCACUAGGUUCAUCGCCAUUGCUCUUCUGCAAGGUUGGUUCGAGAAAUCACAGCUAGUUUAGUUGAUCAAGAUGUUUCUUCCUGAAGAUCUGGGCAGUCCAUUACAAAGCUAUAGCCUAUGGGGACGAGAGCUUUUUAUGAACUGUUAGGUUGGUAACGAUAGUGUGUGAUGGGAGUUUGAAUUUGAGCAUAAAUACUUUGAGGGUUGGAGAGUGAUAAAGUCGUCAGGUUUUUUACAAGCUAGAUACCCUUUGAAGAAAGAGUGGAAUUUGUGGGAUGCAGAUAUGCUAAGCAAUAAAGAAUAUUGGCAGGGCAGGGGCAAGGCAAGAAGGAACAACAAAUGCAACUAGCAUCAUUGUCCAACAUGGCAAGUUCUAUUUUGCUUGUGGAGGUGAAAGUGGUUGCUUCUAGCUAGUAAUUACUUGUGCGUCCACUUUUGGAAUCAUUUUACUGAUUCGAUGGCUUGUUUUGAAGGAAAAAUAAUCUACCUCACUGUUGUUGUUUGUAAA